AACGAACGCUGGCGGCAGGCCUAACACAUGCAAGUCGAACGCGUGUAGCAAUACACGAGUGGCGCACGGGUGAGUAACACGUGGGAAUCAACCCAGAAGUUCGGAAUAACCGCGGGAAACUGCGGCUAAUACCGGAUAUCCCCUACGGGGGAAAGAUUUAUCGCCUUUGGACGAGCCCGCGUCCGAUUAGCUAGUUGGUGAGGUAACGGCUCACCAAGGCUACGAUCGGUAGCUGGUCUGAGAGGAUGACCAGCCACACUGGAACUGAGAUACGGUCCAGACUCCUACGGGAGGCAGCAGUGGGGAAUAUUGGGCAAUGGAGGCAACUCUGACCAGCCAUGCCGCGUGGGUGACGAAGGUCUUCGGAUUGUAAAGCCCUUUCGGCGGGGACGAUGAUGACGGUACCCGCAGAAGAAGCCCCGGCUAACUUCGUGCCAGCCGCCGCGGUAAGAC
rnacentral:rRNA from 1 species